GAAAUGCGAUAAGUAAUGUGAAUUACAGAAUUCAGUGAAUCAUCGAAUCUUUGAACGCACCUUGCGCUCCUUGGUAUUCCUUGGAGCAUGCCUGUUUGAGUAUCAUGAAAUCUUCAAAGUAAAUCUUUUGUUAACUCAAUUGGUUUCUACUUUGGUAUUGGAGGUCUUUGCAGCUUCACACCUGCUCCUCUUUGUUCAUUAGCUGGAUCUCAGUGUUAUGCUUGGUUCCACUCGGCGUGAUAAGUUAUCUAUCGCUGAGGACACUGUAAAAGGUGGCCAAGGUAAAUGCAGAUGAACCGCUUCUAAUAGUCCAUUGACUUGGACAAUACUUUUAUGAUCUGAUCUCAAAUCAGGUAGGACUACCCGCUGAACUUAAGC
rnacentral:misc_RNA from 1 species